UAAUCUGAAUUUUUAUUUGAAAAUAAUUGAGUAUGAAUUGACUUGAAUGCCCUUGUAUGUGUGAAUAGGUGAAAAUUGGCCUUAGGGGCAAAAUGGUCAUUUGACCUUUAUUUUCUAUACUUGGUAAAAGCUUAUUUUUUUUAGGGAAGUAAAUGAAUUUCUGGUUUUUGUAUCCCUCACACCCGACCCCUCUCUCUCUCUCUAACCCUUUCUUUUAGAAAUCUUGAUUUUGAGAGAAAAGGGCUUGAUUUGGUGUAGCUUUGUGGAUGUUCUUGCUUGGGAAGAACUUGAGGAACUUGUGGAUUACCGGCACCUGAUCAGGAGCACCCGGGGAUUCAGAAUCUCCUUCUAUAGCUGGACAACAGGAAAGGGUAAGACAUUAGCUGAUCAACCAUGAGUUUCAGGAGCAAGGCGAAGAAUGUACAUGUUCAUGCCACUUCAGACCAAGCGGGUUAUGGGUCUAACAGUGUUGACUUUGUAUUCUGUUUUGUCGCUUAGGUCGGCUAGUAAGAAAGAACUUGUAAUAAGUUUGUAAAUAUUUUUGGGAUCCCAACUAUUUUGAAAAGUUUAAAUAUAUUACAAGUUUAUUUUCAGUCUGUUUAAUAUAAAAGUUUAAAUUCUGCGCUAUUUUAAUUAGUAAUCCCGAUUAGGGGAUUAGGAUUUCAUAAGCAUUUUGGGUAGCGUGCCUAAUUAUUUAGGGCGUUACACCUAGACUACUUACAUGCUGACGUAUGGGGACCAGAAAAAAUACCUACACAUGGAGGUAAAUCAUACCUUCUCUCAAUUGUUGAUGAUUUUUCUAGAAAAGUUUAAGUAUUUUUAUUAAAAACUAAAAAUUAAGCUUUAGAAAAAUUCAAAUAAUGAAAACUGUUCAUAGAAAACUUAACAGAAAGAAAAAUUAAAAACAUACUACCUAAAGUAUGUUCAUUUCUCCUAUUUCUCACAUACUACCUAAAGUAUCCUCGUGAAAUGAGACUUCCAAUCUCAUAUUUGAGUUGUCGACACUCCUCAGUUAUGUGGUCAAUAUCUUUGUGAAAGCGACAAUAUCUAUUGUGAUCCCGUUUAUUCCUCGCAUUUCUCAUAAGUUCUAUUUUGCAAAAAGUGACCCUAUUCUCAUUU